GACGAACGCUGGCGGCGUGCUUAACACAUGCAAGUCGAACGGUGAAGCGCCUUCCUUUUUGGUGGGUGUGGAUGAGUGGCGAACGGGUGAGUAACACGUGAGUAACCUGCCCCCUUCUUCUGGAUAACCGCAUGCAAGUGUGGCUACUACGGGGUAUUCUGGGUCUGUCGCUUGAUGGGUCUGGGAAAGAUUUUGUUUCGGUGGGGGAUGGGCUCGCGGCCUUUCAGCUUGUUGGUGGGGUGAUGGCCUACCAAGGCGGUGACGGGUAGCCGGCCUGAGAGGGUGGACGGACACAGAGGGAGAGAGAGACGGACAAGACUCGUGCGGGAGGCAGAAGGGGGGAAUAUUGCACAAUGGGAGUAAGCCUGAUGCAGCGACGCCGAGUGAAGGAUGGAGGCCGUCGGGUUGAGAACCUCUUUCGCGAGUGAAGCAGGCGUGCCUGGUUUGUGGAUGGGUUGACGGUAGCUGGAUAAGAAGCGCCGGCUAACUACGUG
rnacentral:rRNA from 1 species